rnacentral:rRNA from 1 species
UCCAGACUCCUACGGGAGGCAGCAGUGGGGAAUAUUGCACAAUGGGGGAAACCCUGAUGCAGCAACGCCGCGUGGGUGAAGGAGCGUUUCGGCGCGUAAAGCCCUGUCAGCGGGGAAGAAGAAAGACGGUACCCGACCAAGAAGCCCCGGCUAACUACGUGCCAGCAGCCGCGGUAAUACGUAGGGGGCGAGCGUUAUCCGGAAUUACUGGGUGUAAAGGGAGCGUAGACGGCAGAGCAAGUCUGAAGUGAAAGCCCGCGGCCCAACUGCGGGACUGCUUUGGAAACUGCCCGGCUAGAGUGCUGGAGAGGUAAGCGGAAUUCCUAGUGUAGCGGUGAAAUGCGUAGAUAUCAGGAGGAACACCGGUGGCGAAGGCGGCCUGCUGGACUGCGACUGACGUUGAGGCCCGAAAGCGUGGGGAGCAAACAGGAUUAGAUACCCGAGUAUA